UGCAUGAGAGAGAGAGAAAGAAAGGAGGGAGUGGGGGAGGAAAGAAGUGACAAAACAGUCCUUGUGCUUUGAGGUAGAGUCUGUAUCCAGGCACUAGUUAGUACCCGCAGGGCAGUAGCCAACCCUUAUUUUCUCCCAUCAGUCCUGCAGUAAAUGUGGUUAAUAAGCACUUUGAUCUAUUCUUUUUGAAAAAUCGGUCGCAGUCAAGAGACAGUGGACGCUGGUGUUUCUAACUCAGGCAGUGGACUUUUUCUUGGGAAAUAAACAGGAAGGAGAUGCUCAGGCCAGAAAUUGUUUUGUUCCUCUCCCUCCGCCCAUCACAGAGGCCCUGAGCGCCCGCCUUGUUUGCACUCAGCUGUGGACCCGGGCUGGGCUCUCAGCUCUCCCUACCACACACCAGCCAGUUCAGUUUCCUGACUCUCCGGUUCUGGCUUAGGCUUUCACGCCUCGCUUUAUUUCACUGAGCAGGCCUGAGCACGGUGCUCUCAAGGUGUUUUUUCAUUUCCAGGUCUUGAGGUCCAAGUGUCACCUGAGAUGCAUCCACUGGGUCUUUCUCUUGGUGGCUUGUUUCCUCGCGUGCUUCGUAGUCGUGGUCUGUAAACUCACACCAAGCUUGUUUUCCCUUAGGGCCUGGGGGUCCCACGUGCCCUGGGUUGUAUCUAUAGAGCAGUUUGAAGCUUGCCUCCACUGGGGAUGCCAAGGUUUUUCUCUGGGUCCCAGUAAGCUUGCUUAUUAAUUUUCUGGGAUAAGUCUCCAUGACUCCAGGCUUUGUACGGGUGCAUUUUGUGGCCCUGGACUCCCGUUUCCUUUUCCACCCCGGGCUCAGGUGGAUGGCAAGUCUUUUGGCUUUUUCAGAGACGAGUGGACAGAAAUUUUUCCCCGUGGGUUUUGAUAGGUAGAGUUUCUGUCUUUGUUUAUGGCUGUGGCAUUUCCUAAUUUCCAUGCCCGCAUCCUCUUGGACGCAUCAUAAUCUAAAAAUGUCUUUGUGACUAGCUCCUUUUUUCCUUCCCAUUUCCCAUGUUUGUGCUGUCAUCUUCCCUGGUGUUACACAGCUUUAGUUGUGGCCUGAUUCUUCCACCACAGAUUUCUUUGAGGGUCAAAGUUCCCUUCUGACCUUGGCUUUGGCUCCAAUCUCCAUGUUUUGAUAAGGAAUGUUCUCCAACUCCAGCACGUAAUGGCCCUUGCAAUUCAGACUUUCAUCCCUUCCUGAUUUACAAGUGCUUUGUUUACUUCUCAAGGUUUCUUUUUAUCUGCUUUAUCUUUUCUCAGUUCUCACAGACUGUUCGAGUGGAUGCUUAGGAAGUGGACAACUUGAGAGGUGUCUAGAAAUGGUUAAUUUAAGUCGGUUGUUUAAAUAAAUUGACAGUGCCUGAUGGUCAGUACACAGGAGAGGGAUCUGGUGGCCAAGUUGAACCCCUGCCCCAGGCCUGACUUAGUCACAUCACUUGGAUGAUCCAGCUCAGCUAAAGGUCUCGGGGCCUCUGGCUACUCAUCAGACACAUGGUGGCAGAGAGCCCUGGGCCAAGUUGUCCUGGUGUCUCUCUCACUUAACAAAUCCUUCCCUGUGGCUCCUGGCUCUGUGGACAUUGCUCCGUUCCAGCCCAUUGUGUUCAUAGGGCCCAAGGCUCCCAACGCCCCCUGCUUCCCCAGGAAGCCCCUCAACCUCAGAUCAUGGUCACGACCUGAUUCUGAAUCCCCUCUUUAUUCUUGGGGCUUCGUCUUUCUCGGCUUUGAAUUUUGCUAUGCAUUUACAUUUUGGGGGUUCUGUUUGGUCCAGCAUUUUAAUGUGUGCAAAGUAGGAGGGGGAAGUUCCCGUAUCCACCCAAGGUACCACGUCGACUAGAAGUAUCUGUUAGGUUUGUCGAGGGAGGAACACACUAGGCCAAGUUAGUAAAGCCAAAGGGAUUUAUUAAGGCAUCAGAGGGGCACGGGCUCCAGCCCUGACUGUGAGGAGGUGCCAGGCUUAUAAAGGAUCCAGGGUGGGAAUCUGUGGCUGGAUGGAGUUCAUGGCAGGGACUCGUGGCAGGAACGACGAAGAAGGAGGGCACAGUCAAGGGAGGGGUAGGGGGUCGAGUCCCAUGACAGAGGGCAGUUAAUCCUUGUAGGAGGUUAAUCUAUGCAGGCAGUUGUUUCCUGCAGGCCAUUGUUUCUUGCUGCCCAAUUUGAGCCUCCGCAUUCUAGGAAAGGGUGUCCACAGCAGGUCUCCAAGGUGAGCAGCCACAUUCAGGGGUGUGUGUGGGGGGGUCUGUUUCCAUCCUCUAGGGAACCCCUCAGUAUCUGAUAUGAUUAGCUAUGUACCUUUGAGCAAAACACUUAAUUUCUCUGAACCUAUUUCUUCAUCUUUAAAAUAAGUAGGUCCUGUAAUAGGAAUACCUACAAAACAGGCUGUUCGAAGAAUUCUGUGAGAUAGGCAUGGAAAGAGUUUAGCAUGUACGGUGCCUGGAACAUAGUAGAUGUUCGAUAAAUGGUUAAGUAUUAUCAUUUCCGCUUCUAUUAUACAUACAAAAAUUGUGAACUCAAAGAGAUUAAGGAACUUGCCUAAAGCCACACAGCACAUGAGUGGAAUAAACCCCAGGGGUCUGAGUCUUGUCGGUCCAGGAAUGGGGCAUGUGGUCAGCCAGGGGUCUUUAGGGCCCCAGGCAUCGUCUGAAUAUACCCUCACGAGGUACCCCAGGUGAGAACUGCCUAGGAGAACCCAGUCAGCCCCCAGAUUUGUGAGCAAAGUAAACAAUGGCUAUUAUUGUAAGCCCGUGUUUGGGGAAGGCUCGUCACAUGGUGGAAGACAACAGGAAUACUGUCCUAUUGCUUUACGAGGUGCAGAGGAGUCCUUGGGCAGACCCCGGAGAGAGUGCUGUAUCAUUCGUUCAUUCGUCCAUUUAUUCAACCAACCGACCUUGAGCCCCACCGGUGCCCCCGGCUCUUUGUCAGGCACUGAGGACCCAGUGGUAAACAGGACAGGCAAGACAGGAAACAAACAAACAAUUAAAUAAAAAAGGCAAUACCAGGCAGUGAUAAGUGCCAGGAAGAAAAUAAGGCACGAUGAAACAGAGGGAUAGAUGGAGUCCUUUCAACUCAGGUGAUCGGAGGCAUUUAAGGUGAGACGAAGGUCAGGAAGGAGUCAGAGCUGGCAGCAGAAUAGUCCAGGCAGAAAGAAUUGCCAGUGGAGACGCCCUAACGUGAGAGUGAGUUUGGUGUGUUUGAGCAUCCUUCAAGGCUGGUGUGGCUAGAGUAUAGUGAGUGUGGGAACAGGGGGCAGGAGAGGAUGGCAAGGGGUGUUGCAGGGGCACAAGGUGUCGGGAUUUGUAGGCCAAGGGAAAGAUUUCUGACUUUUUUUUCUGAAUGCGAAGGCACUGGUAGGUGUUUUAGCAAGGUGGUGUGUCCGUAAGAAUUGUAUAGGUUAUGCUGCAGUAGCAAAUAAAACCCCAAAUGGCAGUGGCUUCCCACAAUAGAAGCUUAUGUUCUUCUUCCACCACAGUCUACCGUGUGUCUGCUGGGUUUCCUCUAAGUGGCAACUCAGAAGCUUGGGCUGCCUCCACCUUGUGACACCAUCAUCUUGUAGCUUCAAGGUCACUGUGAUGCCGUCUAUCCAGGGACAGGUAGAAAGAGAAGAGAGGAUGGAGGGGGCCCCAGGUACUCAUCUGCCUUAACUGGAAGUAACGCACAUCACUUAGCUCACGUCCCACUGGCUAGAACUAGUCCCGUGGCCCAGCUAACCACAAGGGAGGCUGGGAAAUGUGAAAGAGCACGCAGAUAUGUCUGAGAGCUCCCAACAGUCUCUAUCACAGGUGGCAAUAGACUCUAUAUUAUGAGUCAGCACUCUGGUUACUAAAAAAAAAAAAAGUGAGUCAUGAGUGGUAGGAAGCCCAGCUAUGGUUAGGUUCUGAAAUUGUAGCCUAACUUCUUUUGCUUUCAGUUUGUCACUUGUGGCCUUAAGUGCUGGGCAGAUUUUACCUUCUGGAACAAAAUAUGCUGAAAGUUGUGUGCUGAAGGGAAUCUCAGGUCAAAGCCAAAGUCAAGGGUUCAAAAAUCAAAUGUUUACCUCAUACCUUUCAGAAGGGCCAUCAUCAAAAAGUCUACAAAUAACAAAUGCUGGAGAGGGUGUGGACAAAAGGGAACCCUCCUACACUGUUGGUGGGAAUGUAAAUUGGUGCAGCCACUAUGGAGAAUAGUGUGGAGGUUCCUUAAAAAACUGAAAAUGGAAGUUGCCAUAAAAUCCUAUAAUCCCACUCCUGGGCAUAUGUAUAGAAAAGACAGAAACUCUAAUUUAGAAAAGACACAUGUUGGAUGGGACCAGAGACUCUCAUACUGAGUGAAGUAAGUCAGAAAGAGAAAGACACAUACCAUAUGAUAGCACUUAUAUCUGGAAUCUAAUAUAAGGCACAAAUGAACCUUUCCACAGAAAAAAAUCAUGGACUUGGAGAAUAGACUUGUGGUUGCCAAGGGGGAGGGGGAGGGAGUGACGUGGUUGGGGAGCUUGGGGUUAAUAGAUAUAAACUAUUGCCUUUGGGAUGGAUUAGCAAUGAGAUCCUGCUGUGUAGCACCGGGCUAUGUAUAGUCACUUAUGAUGGAGCAUGAUAAUGUGAGAAAAAAGAAUGUAUACAUGUAUGUGUAACUGGGUCACCAUGCUGUACAGUAGAACAAAAUUGUAUAGGGGAAAUAACUACUAAAAAAAUAAUAAUAAAAAGCAAAAAAAAAGAAAGAAAGAAAAGAUACAUGCACCCCAGUGUUCUUAGCAGCACUAUUUAUAAUAGCCAAGAUGUGGAAGCAACAUAAGCAUCCAACAGCAGAUGAAUGGAUAAAGAAGAUGUGUACAUAUGGAAUAUUACUCAGCCAUAAAGAAGGGUAAAAUCAUACCAUUUGCAGCCACAUGGAUGGACCUAGAGAUUAUCAUACUAAGUGAAGUCAGACAGAGAAAGACAAAUAUCCUGACAUCACUUAUAUGUGGAAACUAAAAAAAAAAAAAAUACAAAUGAGAUUAUUUACAAAACAGAAACAGACUCAAAGACAUAGAAAAUAAAUUUAUGGUUACCAAA
rnacentral:lncRNA from 1 species